UACAGAGGUCUCAAGCGUUGUUCGGAUUCAUUGGGCGUAAAGGGUGCGUAGGUGGCGCCGUAAGUCGGGUGUGAAAUUUCGGAGCUUAACUCCGAAACUGCAUUCGAUACUGCGGUGCUUGAGGACUGGAGAGGAGACUGGAAUUUACGGUGUAGCGGUGAAAUGCGUAGAUAUCGUAAGGAAGACCAGUGGCGAAGGCGGGUCUCUGGACAGUUCCUGACGCUGAGGCACGAAGGUCAGGGGAGCAAACGGGG
rnacentral:rRNA from 1 species